AUCCCGAGGGUUUGCGCCCCGAACGCUCACUAAGCAGAACUAGGCCGACGCAAAGUCAUUUUGAAAUAGGUGGCAGAGACGGAAAAUACAGAAUGAUGAAAUGAUGGCAGAGCUCGUGUGUCAUUCGCCAAUAAUUAAAAUGAAAUGUAGACACGUUUCCAGUUCAGUCACAAGCCAUUGAAACCGUCGCGUCUAGAACAUUUCAACUGGCGAGCGUCAUCCUCAGACACUGGCAGAGCGUCCUUAACCCUCAAGUAGGGACUAGUUUUGCAAAAGUCUUUAAAGGGAAAUCAGGAGGAGCCACGUGUGCGUCCCGAGGCCGAGUUUGGCCGAUGCACGGGAGACAGAGCCCGCGGGGAGCAGCUCGGACGGUCUGCGAGGCCGCAAGCGCGGCUCCCCGGGGCGAUGUCGGGCGUUGGGCGCGCGCUGACUCGGCGGCUGGACCCUGUCCGGAGCCCCCGUGUGUCGAAAGGGUUCUGGGAGAGUCUGGUUUCAGGAGACACCUUUUUGCAAACCAUUCCAUAUUUCUGGAGCCAAAGCCUUGUCUAGGGUUGUAGCUGAAGGACCCAUCUGCUACUUUGGGAGGCUGAGACAUGAGACAGAAGAAGACAGCUGAAGUGGGCUGUAAGCAGGAAGAGACCCCCCUCUGAACGACAUCCAUCUCAUUUGGUGAGUGCAUGACCCCCUCAUGACUCCAUCCUUCCAUACACCACUGUGCAAUACUCACCCCCGCGCAUCCUGUUUAGAGUCAGCUUAGAUCCUGCAGAAUUUUCCUUCUAUUUUUCAGCAACAGAAUAUGAGGCAAAGGCCAAGAGCUGCUGAUCUGUCUGCACUGUUUGGAAGAGCCCCUGAGCUGCUGCUUUGUAGAGCUGAAAGGAAGUGCUGCCUGGCCCUUCAGAGCUCCCUGCAGGCUCUGGGCUGCUUGUCAGUGACCUGCAGCCUGCUCCAGCUCCACUGAGCCUCCCCUGCAGCCUGUGUCUGGCUUGGGCUCCCUGAGGCUGUCCUAUCUCAGUUGUCUGCACUGUGUUCUAUUGCCCUGGUAAGUGUACAAGUGAAGAAUCAAGGGUAGAGGCCCUGAGAAACAGCCCUGACUCACUGGAGAGCCUCACAGAAUUAAGGCACCUGGUUCCCUCUACCUGCCUAAAUGAGUGGUAGUCACCAAGAUUGUGUAACCAUCACCAGCACAGCCUGAGAGCCCAGAAUGAAUCAGUUGUGGUUAAAGACCUAAAACAGCCUUUGUGCUCUAAUAUGUUUUCACAUACAAAGAGUUUUAGUGCUGUCUGGAGACCACACUUGUUAUUAUCAUUUAAGUUAAAGUUUGAGAUUUACAUAUCAAGCAGGCUGAUCUCUGCCAGCACACAGCUCAUAUUCUCAUUGUGGGGUGGGGAGAGAGAGAGAGAGAUAGGCAAGAAGCAUAAUCCAUAAGUAAUUUUCAUGUUAUGUUAAGAAUGACCAAAUCUUAAGAAAUAAAGCAUAAAUCAGGGUAAGGGGAAAGGGGAGC
rnacentral:lncRNA from 12 species